UACGAAGGGUGCAAGCGUUACUCGGAAUUACUGGGCGUAAAGCGUGCGUAGGUGGUCUGUUAAGUCUGAUGUGAAAGCCCUGGGCUCAACCUGGGAAUUGCAUUGGAUACUGGCAGGCUAGAGUGCGGUAGAGGGUAGUGGAAUUCCCGGUGUAGCAGUGAAAUGCGUAGAGAUCGGGAGGAACACCAGUGGCGAAGGCGACUACCUGGACCAGCACUGACACUGAGGCACGAAAGCGUGAGGAGCAAACAGG
rnacentral:rRNA from 1 species